rnacentral:rRNA from 1 species
GAUGAACGCUGGCGGCGUGCCUAAUACAUGCAAGUCGAGCGAACAGACGAGGAGCUUGCUCCUCUGACGUUAGCGGCGGACGGGUGAGUAACACGUGGAUAACCUACCUAUAAGACUGGGAUAACUUCGGGAAACCGGAGCUAAUACCGGAUAAUAUAUUGAACCGCAUGGUUCAAUAGUGAAAGACGGUUUUGCUGUCACUUAUAGAUGGAUCCGCGCCGCAUUAGCUAGUUGGUAAGGUAACGGCUUACCAAGGCAACGAUGCGUAGCCGACCUGAGAGGGUGAUCGGCCACACUGGAACUGAGACACGGUCCAGACUCCUACGGGAGGCAGCAGUAGGGAAUCUUCCGCAAAGGGCGAAAGCCUGACGGAGCGACGCCGCGUGAGUGAUGAAGGUCUUCGGAUCGUAAAACUCUGUUAUUAGGGAAGAACAAAUGUGUAAGUAACUAUGCACGUCUUGACGGUACCUAAUCAGAAAGCCACGGCUAACUACGUG